rnacentral:rRNA from 1 species
UUCAUCUUGCCAUACUGGUUUGUCACAGCCCGAUCUUGAUCGAUCUCAGAAGCUAAGCAGAGCUAAGCUUGGUUAGUAUUUGAAUGGGAAACCAAGUCCCACAGUGGGGAGUCAGUGAAA